UGCACGCUUCAAAAGUCUAUUAAUUAGGGUUCCAGCCAAAUAACUCUCCUCCAAAAUUUUAAUCCCUGCUUCUCACCCGCUCCCCUGCGUCAAGCCAUUCAAAGAACCCUGCUUCCAUACAUUUGCUCUGAUCGAUUUGGUGGUCUUCCAUGGUAGAUUCGUAAACAUCUCCAUAUAUUCAAGUGCAGAGCUGCGCUAUGUUGUGCGAUAUGUACUAUGGCUUAUGAGACAAAUGAGGAAGGGGAUAAUCUCAAGGCAUCAGCAUAUUCCUCAUUUAUUGCAGAGCAGGCAAUGUAA
rnacentral:lncRNA from 1 species